GACGAACGCUGGCGGCGUGCCUAAUACAUGCAAGUCGAACGCUUCUUUCCUCCCUAGUGCUUGCACUCAAUUGGAAAGCGGAGUGGCGGACGGGUGAGUAACACGUGGGUAACCUACCCAUCAGAGGGGGAUAACACUUGGAAACAGGUGCUAAUACCGCAUAACAGUUUAUGCCGCAUGGCAUAAGAGUGAAAGGCGCUUUCGGGUGUCGCUGAUGGAUGGACCCGCGGUGCAUUAGCUAGUUGGUGAGGUAACGGCUCACCAAGGCCACGAUGCAUAGCCGACCUGAGAGGGUGAUCGGCCACACUGGGACUGAGACACGGCCCAGACUCCUACGGGAGGCAGCAGUAGGGAAUCUUCGGCAAUGGACGAAAGUCUGACCGAGCAACGCCGCGUGAGUGAAGAAGGUGUUCGGAUCGUAAAACUCUGUUGUUAGAGAAGAACAAGGACGUUAGUAACUGAACGUCCCCUGACGGUAGCUAAACAGAAAGCCACGGCUAACUACGUG
rnacentral:rRNA from 1 species